GCUGAAUACCAGUUUCCGAGCGGCAGCGGCAGCGAUGGCGAUUUUUAGUGUGUAUGUGGUGAACAAAGCUGGCGGCUUGAUUUACCAGUUGGACAGCUACGCGCCACGGGCUGAGGCUGAGAAAACUUUCAGUUAUCCGCUGGAUCUGCUGCUCAAGCUACACGAUGAGCGUGUGUUGGUUGCUUUCGGCCAGCGGGACGGCAUCCGAGUGGGUCAUGCAGUGCUGGCCAUCAAUGGCAUGGACGUGAAUGGCAGGUACACGGCCGACGGGAAAGAGGUGCUGGAGUAUCUGGGUAACCCUGCUAAUUACCCGGUGUCCAUUCGAUUUGGCCGGCCCCGCCUCACUUCUAAUGAGAAGCUUAUGCUGGCCUCCAUGUUCCACUCGUAAGUCCCCCGUCUCCUGAACGGCAGCGCUUGUAAUUUGUCUACCUUUUCUUAAAUCGUCGUUCUGGUGUUAUGAAAAACGCAACCGAUCCAGAUCUAGAUUUUAGGUAAUAACGGCAGUGGUGUCAUCUUUUUUUGCUGGGUGGGGAGGGGCCGCGGAGUUACCCAGGCUGGAGCGCAGUGGUG
rnacentral:sRNA from 1 species